CAACGUGAGCAACCUGCCUUUCAGAGGGGGAGUAACAGUUGGAAAUGACUGCUAAUACCGCAUGACAUUAGGGGGAGGGGCAUCCUCUUCUAAUCAAAGGAGCAAUCCGCUGAAAGAUGGGCUCGCGGCCGAUUAGCUGGAUGGCGGGGUAGAGGCCCACCAUGGCGACGAUCGGUAGCCGGACUGAGAGGUUGAACGGCCACAUUGGGACUGAGACACGGCCCAGACUCCUACGGGAGGCAGCAG
rnacentral:rRNA from 1 species